GAGUUUGAUUAUGGCUCAGGAUGAACGCUGGCGGCGUGCGUAACACAUGCAAGUUGGACGACGGUGCUAUGAAGUGGUAACACGGAAUGGUAUACGGAGUAGCGGACGGGUGAGUAAAGCAUGAGGAGCUGUCCUGUUGAGGGGGAUAACGUUCGGAAACGGACCCUAAUACCCCAUAGGCCGAGAGGUUAAAGGCAGAGAUGCGCGACAGGAGGUACUCGUGUCCUAUCAGCUAGUUGGUGAGGUAACGGCUCACCAAGGCGACGACGGGUAGCCGGCCUGAGAGGGUGACCGGCCACACUGGAACUGAGACACGGUCCAGACUCCUACGGGAGGCAGCAGUGGGGAAUAUUGGGCAAUGGGAGGAAUCCUGACCCCAGCGACCGCCGCGUGAACGAAGACGGCCUUCGGGUUGUAAAGUUCUUUUAUGUGGGAAGAAGGAAGUG
rnacentral:rRNA from 1 species